rnacentral:rRNA from 1 species
AACGAACGCUGGCGGCAGGCUUAACACAUGCAAGUCGAGCGCCCCGCAAGGGGAGCGGCAGACGGGUGAGUAACGCGUGGGAAUCUACCCAUCUCUACGGAAUAACGCAUGGAAGCGUGUGCUAAUACCGUAUACGUCCUUCGGGAGAAAGAUUUAUCGGAGAUGGAUGAGCCCGCGUUGGAUUAGCUAGUUGGUGGGGUAAAGGCCUACCAAGGCGACGAUCCAUAGCUGGUCUGAGAGGAUGAUCAGCCACACUGGGACUGAGACACGGCCCAGACUCCUACGGGAGGCAGCAGUGGGGAAUAUUGGACAAUGGGCGCAAGCCUGAUCCAGCCAUGCCGCGUGGGUGAUGAAGGCCCUAGGGUUGUAAAGCUCUUUCACCGGUGAAGAUAAUGACGGUAACCGGAGAAGAAGCCCCGGCUAACUUCGUGCCAGCAGCCGCGGUAACAC